rnacentral:tRNA from 1 species
GGGGCUGUAGCUCAGUAGCAGAGCACUUGCCUAGCAUGCGUGAGGCACUGGGUUCGAUCCUCAGCACCA